rnacentral:rRNA from 1 species
CCGUUGGCGGGGUGCCUAAUACAUGCAAGUAGAACGCUGAAGAGAGGAGCUUGCUCUUCUUGGAUGAGUUGCGAACGGGUGAGUAACGCGUAGGUAACCUGCCUUGUAGCGGGGGAUAACUAUUGGAAACGAUAGCUAAUACCGCAUAACAAUGGAUGACACAUGUCAUUUAUUUGAAAGGGGCAAUUGCUCCACUACAAGAUGGACCUGCGUUGUAUUAGCUAGUAGGUGAGGUAAUGGCUCACCUAGGCGACGAUACAUAGCCGACCUGAGAGGGUGAUCGGCCACACUGGGACUGAGACACGGCCCAGACUCCUACGGGAGGCAGCAGUAGGGAAUCUUCGGCAAUGGGGGCAACCCUGACCGAGCAACGCCGCGUGAGUGAAGAAGGUUUUCGGAUCGUAAAGCUCUGUUGUAAGUCAAGAACGGGUGUGAGAGUGGAAAGUUCACACUGUGACGGUAGCUUACCAGAAAGGGACGGCUAACUACGUGCCAGCAGCCGCGGUAAUACGUAGGUCCCGAGCGUUGUCCGGAUUUAUUGGGCGUAAAGCGAGCGCAGGCGGUUUGAUAAGUCUGAAGUUAAAGGCUGUGGCUCAACCAUAGUUCGCUUUGGAAACUGUCAAACUUGAGUGCAGAAGGGGAGAGUGGAAUUCCAUGUGUAGCGGUGAAAUGCGUAGAUAUAUGGAGGAACACCGGUGGCGAAAGCGGCUCUCUGGUCUGUAACUGACGCUGAGGCUCGAAAGCGUGGGGAGCGAACAGGAUUAGAUACCCUGGUAGUCCACGCCGUAAACGAUGAGUGCUAGGUGUUGGAUCCUUUCCGGGAUUCAGUGCCGCAGCUAACGCAUUAAGCACUCCGCCUGGGGAGUACGACCGCAAGGUUGAAACUCAAAGGAAUUGACGGGGGCCCGCACAAGCGGUGGAGCAUGUGGUUUAAUUCGAAGCAACGCGAAGAACCUUACCAGGUCUUGACAUCCCGAUGCUAUUUCUAGAGAUAGAAAGUUACUUCGGUACAUCGGUGACAGGUGGUGCAUGGUUGUCGUCAGCUCGUGUCGUGAGAUGUUGGGUUAAGUCCCGCAACGAGCGCAACCCCUAUUGUUAGUUGCCAUCAUUCAGUUGGGCACUCUAGCGAGACUGCCGGUAAUAAACCGGAGGAAGGUGGGGAUGACGUCAAAUCAUCAUGCCCCUUAUGACCUGGGCUACACACGUGCUACAAUGGUUGGUACAACGAGUUGCGAGUCGGUGACGGCGAGCUAAUCUCUUAAAGCCAAUCUCAGUUCGGAUUGUAGGCUGCAACUCGCCUACAUGAAGUCGGAAUCGCUAGUAAUCGCGGAUCAGCACGCCGCGGUGAAUACGUUCCCGGGCCUUGUACACACCGCCCGUCACACCACGAGAGUUUGUAACACCCGAAGUCGGUGAGGUAACCUUUUGGAGCCAGCCGCGUAAGGUGAACAGAAUG